GCCAGGUGCGGUGGUGCACACCUGUCAUCCCAGCAGCUGGGGAGGCUGAGGCAGGAGGAUCACAAGUUCAAAGCCAGCCUCAGCAAUGGGCAAGGUGCUCAGCAACUCAGUGAGACCCUGUCUCUA
rnacentral:sRNA from 1 species